rnacentral:rRNA from 1 species
CAGUAGCCGCGGUAAUACGUAGGGUCCGAGCGUUGUCCGGAAUUAUUGGGCGUAAAGGGCUCGUAGGCGGUUUGUUGCGUCGGGAGUGAAAACCCAGGGCUUAACUCUGGGCUUGCUUUCGAUACGGGCAGACUUGAGGCAUUGAGGGGAGAACGGAAUUCCUGGUGUAGCGGUGAAAUGCGCAGAUAUCAGGAGGAACACCGGUGGCGAAGGCGGUUCUCUGGCAAUGUUCUGACGCUGAGGAGCGAAAGUGUGGGGAGCAAACAGGAUUAGAUACCCCUGUAGUCCCUGUCUCUUAUAC